UGAGUAUUGCCUUCCUCAGGAACUGGGUCUGAUUCUGCCUCUCAGUUGACAGUUGCAGUUUUGUAGUGCCCAGAGCUGAGCUGUGAGAUACAUGAGUUAUGGACCAGCUCAGUAGUAUCUACUCCUGACUGAGCACCAGAAUCCUCCAGAUUGGUUGUUCAAACACGGCUUUCAUGCUCCACUCUAGACUCAGUCACACAGAAAUCAGUGCAUGGUACUGCUAGCAAGUGCAGUAUGAGAGCCAAUGUAACCACUAGGGGGCAGCAGAGUGCACGACAGAGCUGGAGUGGCUUCUUACCGCCCAAGGACAGACACCCUCACCCUGAAUCCAGCCCCAGUUCAGGGACAUUAUAUAUUUAGAGAAGAUCAAAUAAACUCAAAAUCAAAAAUCAAAAUCCACGAAUCCUAAACCAAGUCCCUGUGCCAACCAGGACAGACCCUGCCAUGCUCUUUGAAAGAUGGAGUAGCCAAGUCCUCCCUUGGUAUGUUGUGUAUGAUGGGUCCCUUCUGUGUCCAGUACCCCUCACUCUGCUAUCCCUGGCAGCUGGCUCAUCGCCAUCUUGGCCCAGCUGAACCCCCUAUUUGGGCCACAGCUGAAGAAUGAGACCAUCUGGUACGUGCGCUUCCUGUGGGAGUGACCACUGGGAGUGACCGGCUGGCUUCUGGCCCCAGAUGCCCUGCUGUGAAAGAUGACCCAGCCUUGAUGUCCCUGGAGACCCUGCAUUCCCACUGGCCCCACCCAUCAGUAUGACGUUCU
rnacentral:lncRNA from 1 species